AUCAGGUCACUGAGGAAACAGCCAAUGUACUAUCAGAGCUUGGGUAUACCUGUGAGACUCGAGGCAUCAUUGCUGUCAAAGGAAAAGGAAAACUGAAGACGUACAUAGUACAAAGGAUGAGUCGCUCCAUUUCACAGUCAACCAAUCUAAGCUCCGCCCUCUCAUGAUGAUGGGUCUUGUUGCAUAGCAAUGUGUACUGUCUUUAAUAACUUUUUCACUUGUUGAACAUUUCUUUAUUUUGAGGACUCCUGAUAGUUGCCUAGCAACUGAAUCUUUUGCCUGAUGGGAAAUGUGAUGCUAAUGUAGGAGAGCGAAGUCAAAAUUCAGCUGUAGAUUACAAACUUGUGAAUUUGAUACUCUAAAUGAUGGCAGUAGUGGGAUAAUUUACUGUUGCUAGCUGAAGUAGAUUGACCAUUUGCCACACAUAGUAGCAGGAGUGGAAUACCUAGUAACCGCAAUUACAAAGGCAGUUUAUAAACACUCGCGUUUGCGUCGCGUUCAUAAUCACUCGCGUUUUGGAUUUUUUUUUAGUUCGGUGCGAUUUUUUUUCUAACAGUGUCAUCAAUGGGACAAACAUGCUGGGAAAAUAAAAUGAAAUUGAAAUUCGAGUUCCGUUUUAGGCCGGCAAUUAAGUGCCUUAAAUAAAAUGUACUCGACUACUAUAUAUAUAAAGCAACAAUUUUGUUGGUCCCCAGGGGGGUGUUUCAUCAAUAUUGUCACGCGACAACUGUCAGCGCUGACUAAAGAUUGCAUUUCACGAAACUCUCGGAGCCCCUCUAAUUGUCAGAGAAUUUUUAUUUUACAAGUUUCGCUGACUAAUAAUUUAAGCCGCGCCCACUCCCAAAGACAUUCGUGAAAAAAAUGAUUAGUUUGUUGAUGUUUUUGCCGCGACGAUUCGAAAUGAAACGAAUAAAUUAGUAGAAGCAAAGGUCCCCUGAGUCAUGAAUGAGGAUUUUACUGUAAGUAAAACCCUUCAAAAUGUUGUUCAUAUUGUAUGUAAGGUGAUUGAAUUAUUUGCGGUUCCUAAUUAUCAAAUGAAUUACAAGAAAAGAGAAUCUUCUUGCAGGACCCCUGUCGGUACGAUCGAUAAACUUGACAAUACAUAAUCCAGUCUAGUCCCAUACCCGUGUUUCUGUGUCUAAAGAACUAUCUCAGGUCCAGACCAACAACGUCAACGUUUAUAGCCUGUCCAUACACGUUUUUAUGAUCCGCACAUGGUUGCAAUUUCAUGAAUUUUGCAAAGAAAAUUCUUUAUAUUGUUCUACCUUUAUGUCAUUCUAUGUUACAAAUCAUAAUUUUUCAUUUCCCUUGGUUUUGUAUUAAUUUUGUUGCUCGGUGUGGUCGGAGAUAUCCUCGAUCACCAGGCAAUCCAGCAUGUGCAAUUGUUAAUGUACACAUAUCCUAUGGGGCCAUCCCAAUUCUGUGUUACAGAUAUUGGAAUUGAACAGGAGCUAAAUCACAUGGUAUUAGUGUGAGUGGUUAAUCCGAUGUUCUCAACUUGUUUUAGCAUAUAUAUUAUAGGCUUAGGCUUAGCAAGUCACAAUUCAAAUGAAGUGUAGGCUCUCGACAGCAGGCAAGGAUUCAGGGGGGUGGAUUGAUUGAUUGAUUCUUUAUUAUGAUGUGUCGGAGGUGCGUUCACACCCAAUAAAAAUUAAAAUCUAUAUAUAAAAAAAUAUAUAAUAUAGAUCUAAGUUUUUUUGCACCUGUGGCUGUACUAGUCUAGUAUAGGGCAUAGAUUUAACAGUGAGGCCUAACUUUUUACUACUCACUGUACUAGAAUAGGCCUAGAUCUAUAUUAAAUUAUCUUUGACUUUGCGCACCCACGUGAAAUGAGCCAUUGCAUAGUUCCCAUUGAAAAAAAGGUCGAUUUUCCAAUUUUGGGGGAGACGAAAUAAUGCUCUUCAAGUUCAUUUCUGUGCGAUUAUGAAAAUGAAGUUUUUUUGUUUUUUUUUCUUAGUCAAUUUUUUAGGCAAAUUACUAAUUAGCACCCUAUAAAUUUUGACUCUCGAUCUGCAAUAACAUCGGUGUUGUUGGGGUAUAUAAAUUCAAUUAUUGUUGAUAAUGUCUCUUUAUUUAAAAAAAAAAUUAUCGUACCACAAAGUAAGAGUCUAGUCAUACCUACUUAAAUAGCAUGUAAAGGUUACAGGACCCAAAUUUAGGAGCAAAUGUAGGAGAAUUUGCAAUGGAUCUCAUCAAGCUCAAGUAUUUUCCUGCCUUGAAUCUCAUAUUAAAGUUCCAUUGAACAAAGGUCAAAGUCCAGAAAUAGCUGACAGUUUGAUGGGGAUGCAAUUUGCUGCAGUUAUGAAUUAGGAGCCUAUUCAUUUUUUUAUUAAUUUGAUCAUGGCUUUUAACCGGCAAGGUAUCCCAGCGCUAUUGGUUUAUAAGAAAAAAAAACUAUUCUUUUAUUUGAAUUUAAACAAAAUUAUUGAAAAAAACAUUUUAUUGUUUGUAUGGUUACUGUGUUAAAGGGGAAUCCAGCUUUGGCCAUAAAAUGUUGUGUUGGGAAGAAGAAAAAUAAAAUAAACAGAAUGGUGAAAGUUUGAAAGAAAUCGGACAAGCAAUAAGAAAGUUAUAGCUGCUUUAAAAUUGAGAUCACUAAUAGUAUGUAGAUUUCAAAUUGGCAACUGGGUAAGUAAAUUAUGACGAGGGGCAAGGACAACUUUCCCAUCUAGGCCAUGUACUUUAUUAUCAGGGAUUUGUGGUUUUCUCCUAAGUACCCAUUCCCCUGGGGCAGUAAUCUAAAUAUAACCCAGGUAGUAUAUUGUUUUAUGUCCUCAUGAAAGAAAAAUAUAAUUUGAAAUAAAACUCUUGGGAAAAAUGACAUUUUAGCCAUAAUAUGUAUUGGAGUACGUGGAGGAGUAGUCCUUGCCUUACAUCACUAUGACAUCACAUAUGUGGCCAAUUUGAAGUCUCCAUGGGUAUAGUGAUUAACAAUAUUUACAACUUUAAAAAAAUCAUAACUUUCUUUUUGUCUGUCCGAUAUUGUUCAAAUUUUCACCUAUCAAUUUGUCUGAUUUUUCUUUUUCUUAUAAAAACAAGUUUUUAUUUGGGUUGGAUUCCCCUUUAAUGGCUGUCUUGUUUAUAAUCAAGUGGCAAGAAUAAAUUGUUGGUAAAUUCUAGAAAUUUCAGGAUAAUAAAAAAAGAAAAAUGAUUGGUAUAUCUGAUCAUUCCCCUUUAUGAAAUGUCAACAAUAUUCAUUGAAAGUGCAAUAUUUUUCCAUGAUCACUGUGUAAAUCUACAUAUUUUCUUUGCUACAUGUACCGGUAUAUCAAUGUGAUAUUAUUGAUAUUUUAAUUUCAGACUACGGACAUUUGAACAAAAUGCGGAAGGAGACGGGUCUGGAACUAGAAAGCUAGGCUCUGACUGGUCUACUACAGCAAGGAAUGUGCCAGCGGACAAUCUGAUGAACAUGUGGCAGAAGAUUUGGCAAUGGGUGAAGAAACACUGAGAUUGAAAUGCAACCACAGGUGGAGGCUUCACCCAAACUUUUCAGACAGACACGAGAUACAAAGUUACCCAAGUAUAAAUGGUUGAAGGUUUAGGAGAGCCAGACAAGAAGGCAGGAAAUGUGAUGUCACUUUUACUUCAAUAAACAUGAACAGCAGCAGGAGCAACAUCAGCUUCAGCAGCCGAAACCACAACUGCAGUAAGAGAUGCAACAAUCACACCGACAACAUCAAGAGCAACAGCAAAAAUACCAAUUGCAGCUGAAAUGCACCAACCACAUUGGCAACAUCAGCAGCAGCAGGAGCUCCAACAACCAUGCAGGGAACAUCAGGUGCAACAUGAAUAACUUCAUUAAGAGAUGCAACAACCACAGUGGUAAACAUCAACAAUAGUAGCAACAACGACAGUAGAAACAAAGCCAACGGCAAGGAUUAAGCAAUCACUUGAUACAGGCAAUAACACAAGCGGCAACAUCAACAAAUGCAUCAGGAGAUGCAACAGCCACACUCGUAAACAGCAGAAGUAGCAGCGAUGACAACAGCAACCACACAGGCAACACCUUGAGCAACAUCAGUAGCAACAAUAACUUAACUGCACCAGGAGAUGAAACGAUCACACCCACAACACCAAGAGCAGCAGCAAAAACAACAUAAAUUCCAGCAACCACGAUGACAACAGCAGCAGCAACACCAACGACACUAAUGAAUAUUGAAAAACUUGUAAAAAAGUCAAUGACACCAGUUUUCAGACAUUAUCGGACAUUAUUGAUUAAAAAAUGCACAAUGAUUUAUUCGGGUUGAAGAAAAAAGUGUUUGAAAAAAUGUGUUCAUUUGAAGAUGUUUCCUAUGUAUCGAUUAUUAUUUAUGAAAAUACAGUUUUAAAGA